rnacentral:rRNA from 1 species
CAUGUGGUUUAAUUCGUAAGCAACGCGAAGAACCUUACCAGGCCUUGACAUGCAGAGAACUUUCCAGAGAUGGAUUGGUGCCUUCGGGAACUCUGACACAGGUGCUGCAUGGCUGUCGUCAGCUCGUGUCGUGAGAUGUUGGGUUAAGUCCCGUAACGAGCGCAACCCUUGUCCUUAGUUACCAGCACGUUAUGGUGGGCACUCUAAGGAGACUGCCGGUGACAAACCGGAGGAAGGUGGGGAUGACGUCAAGUCGUCAUGGCCCUUACGGCCUGGGCUACACACGUGCUACAAUGGUCGGUACAAAGGGUUGCCAAGCCGCGAGGUGGAGCUAAUCCCAUAAAACCGAUCGUAGUCCGGAUCGCAGUCUGCAACUCGACUGCGUGAAGUCGGAAUCGCUAGUAAUCGUGAAUCAGAACGUCACGGUGAAUACGUUCCCGGGCCUU